rnacentral:misc_RNA from 1 species
GAUGAAGAACGUAGCGAAAUGCGAUAAGUAAUGUGAAUUGCAGAAUUCAGUGAAUCAUCGAAUCUUUGAACGCACAUUGCGCCCGUCAGUAUUCUGGCGGGCAUGCCUGUUCGAGCGUCAUUACGCCCCUCAAGUCCCCUGUGGACUUGGUGUUGGGGAUCGGCGAGGCUGGUUUUCCAGCACAGCCGUCCCUUAAAUUAAUUGGCGGUCUCGCCGUGGCCCUCCUCUGCGCAGUAGUAAAACACUCGCAACAGGAGCCCGGCGCGGUCCACUGCCGUAAAACCCCCCAACUUUUUAUAGUUGACCUCGAAUCAGGUAGGACUACCCGAUGAACUUAAGCAUAUCAAUAAGCGGAGGA